rnacentral:rRNA from 1 species
GAUCCUGACUCAGGAUGAACGCUAGCGACAGGCUUAACACAUGCAAGUCGAGGGGCAUCAUGAGGUAGCAAUACCUUGAUGGCGACCGGCGCACGGGUGAGUAACGCGUAUGCAACCUGCCCGAUACCGGGGUAUAGCCCAUGGAAACGUGGAUUAACACCCCAUAGUACUUUUAUCCUGCAUGGGAUGGGAGUUAAAUGUUCAAGGUAUCGGAUGGGCAUGCGUCCUAUUAGUUAGUUGGG